rnacentral:lncRNA from 1 species
UGUUUUAUAUGACAUGUUUCCUUCAAUGGUUUUUGGUAUUGUCUUGUCUAAUCUUGUUAUUUCUUUCUCUGAAUUAGAUCUGCCCAAUAUUUCUGGAUAUUUUCUUUUAAUUUGUGCUGAAAAGAAUCACAUCUUUGUAUGUUUGAAAACUCUAUUGUUUCAAUUUUUUUUACUCUUAGUGACAUGGUCUUAUGAUUAUAGAAAUGUCAUGACAUACUUAAAACCACAAGUUCUCGGUAAAAUUUAGAUAUAUAUGAAAAUAAAUUCUUUCUUUCGUGAACGCUGUACUCAAUCCAAUAAUACUAUGUAAACAGGGAGAAUAAUUUUUGUUUCACUUACUUGCAUGUAAAAGGUGGUGAGUUGGGGUCAAUUGGAAAGACACCUGGAGCACUUGGAGUGCCUGGAUAAAUGAUAGGUGUAGUGGGGGUGGUAGGAGUCGGGGAGUAACCACCCCCUGGAGUGCUUGGAGUUCCGGGGUCAAUGGUAGGAGUAGGUGGUGUUUCAAUGAUUGGAGUAGUUGGGGUAGUAGGUGUAGGGGAAGGAUAGUAACCACCACCCCCUGGAGUGCUUGGAGUACCAGGGUCAACGGUAGGCGUAGGUGGUGUUUCAAUGGUAGGUGUAGAGGGGGUGGUAGGUGUAGGUGUAGGCGAAGGAUAGUAGCCACCACCACCUGGAGUGCUUGGAGUUCCGGGGUCAGCGGUAGGAGUAGGUGGUGUUUCAAUAGUAGGUGCGGAGGGAGUGGAUGGUGUACUAGGGGUACUAGGUGUAGGAGUACUUGGAGUCGGGGAAGGAUAGUAGCCACUUCCACCCCCUGGAGUACUUGGAGUGCCAGGGUCUGGAGUUGGGGUUACAACAGGUGUAGAGGGGGUGGAUGGUGUACUAGGGGUACUAGGUGUUGGAGUACUAGGAGGGCUUCCUCCACCAUGAUGAGCUGGUGGAGAGGGAGAAUAACCACCACCUCCAUGACCGCCUGAUGGAGGAGAUGGGGUAGG